UCUCCCACUGCAACUUCACCUCCGGCUCCCUGCAUUCCGGCUGCCACACUCCACUGCUUGGCAAGGAACAACUAACAAGAAAGGUGACUCGAAGUGACAGCGUUUUGUCUUUAGAAAUGAUAGAGGUCUGCUGAAGUGGAGCCUUUCAAAACUGCCAGAGCAUCACACUGUAUAAUACAGAUGAAAAUUCCAACUUA